ACGGGGGCCCGCACAAGUCAGUGGAGCAUGUGGUUUAAUUCGAAAGCAACGCGAAGAACCUUACCAGGGCUUGACAUCGGUCUGAUGGGUCCAGAGAUGGAUCGUCCCGCAAGGGCAGACCAGACAGGUGGUGCAUGGUUGUCGUCAGCUCGUGUCGUGAGAUGUUGGGUUAAGUCCCGCAACGAGCGCAACCCUUGAUCGAUGUUGCCAGCACGUGAUGGUGGGGACUCAUCGAUGACUGCCGGUGACAAACCGGAGGAAGGCGGGGAUGACGUCAAAUCGAUCAUGCCCCUUAUGUCCUGGGCGACACACGUGCUACAAUGGACGGGACAACGGGACGCGAAGGCGCGAGCCGGUGCGAAACCCUAAAAGCCGUUCGU
rnacentral:rRNA from 1 species